rnacentral:tRNA from 1 species
AGGCGUGUAGCUCAAUGGUAGAGCACCAUCAUUACAUGAUGGAGACAGUAGUUCAAUUCUAUCUCGCGCCUACCA